AACGAACGCUGGCGGCAGGCUUAACACAUGCAAGUCGAACGCCCCGCAAGGGGAGUGGCAGACGGGUGAGUAACGCGUGGGAACGUGCCCUUCGCUUCGGAAUAGCCCCGGGAAACUGGGAGUAAUACCGGAUACGCCGUAUUGGGAAAGAUUUAUCGGCGAAGGAUCGGCCCGCGUUGGAUUAGCUAGUUGGCGGUGUAAUGGACCACCAAGGCUACGAUCCAUAGCUGGUCUGAGAGGAUGAUCAGCCACACUGGGACUGAGACACGGCCCAGACUCCUACGGGAGGCAGCAGUGGGGAAUCUUGGACAAUGGGCGCAAGCCUGAUCCAGCCAUGCCGCGUGAGUGAAGAAGGCCUUAGGGUUGUAAAACUCUUUCGCCGGAGAAGAUAAUGACGGUAUCCGGAGAAGAAGCCCCGGCUAACUUCGUGCCAGCAGCCGCAGUAAUAC
rnacentral:rRNA from 1 species